rnacentral:tRNA from 1 species
GGGCCCGUGGCGCAGCUGGUAGCGCACCUGCAUGGCAUGCAGGGGGUCACGGGUUCAAAUCCCGUCGGGUCCAC